AUAGCACAGAGGGCAUCUUUUCUCAUCAGCUGAACCUAGAACUCCGUGAGCCCUUCCAUGCCUACUCUGCAGGCGUCCCUCAACUCAGGGGAGAGUUCCGAUAUGUAAUGACUGCCCUUCCUCCAUCUGUGAUUUUCCGCGCUCCUGUAACUUGUUACUCUCAGAUCAGAUCUCCUGGGCCCGACCCCCAAGCCUCCUGCAUUCCGUCGGCGUCUGCCUCUUUCCCGCUCUGCUGUGUCUGCCUAGCUGUUUCUCACCCUUUUCCUUCCUCGGGUCAGGGUCUGCAUCAAGAGUGAGUCUUCAAUCGUCUGCCGGAUGUUUUCAUGAUGUGGGCCAAUUUUGAAGCUCCUGGACUUCGUUCGCGCCCUGGAAUUGGGAUCCUCUCACGUGCCCUGUGGGUUUUGAUCUCAGGGUCAGAGGCGGUGGCCCCUGAACCAUCCAACCGCAGGGCCGGAGGCCUUGUGUCACUCAGCCAGUGGCCGCAGCAGUAACGUGGCUCUGCAGAGGAGCUGGAGAGGAGACGGGGACUCUCCAGGCCCAGGUGCGCCCUGGGCACCCUCCCAAUCUUCCUCGUCACCACUGGGAGGAUGUGGCACUCUCUUCUCUUACAAUAUACACAUGGUUUCUAUUUGCAGACUUUUCUAAGUGACCGGUGACUGACAGUCUAUGCUAUUUACAGAUAUUUUAUGGAAAAAUAAACACAGUCUUCUCCUCAAGGUAAA